rnacentral:rRNA from 1 species
UACGUAGGGGGCAAGCGUUAUCCGGAAUUACUGGGUGUAAGGGGAGCGUAGACGGUAAUGUAAGUCUGGAGUGAAAGGCGGGGGCCCAACCCCCGGACUGCUCUGGAAACUAUGUUACUAGAGUGCAGGAGAGGUAAGCGGAAUUCCUAGUGUAGCGGUGAAAUGCGUAGAUAUUAGGAGGCACACCAGUGGCGAAGGCGGCUUACUGGACUGUAACUGACGUUGAGGCUCGAAAGCGUGGGGAGCAAACAGG